rnacentral:rRNA from 1 species
CUCUACUUCGUCUCGCUGUUUGUUCUUUGGCUCUUUCCCCGCCCUUGCCUAUUCUAUCGUUUUAUGACAUGGAGGGUAAGAAGGUAAAAGGGGGGAAACGACGAGCGAGAGUACCGGUGGCGGCGGAAGGAAGGGGGGCGGGGUCAGGAAGCGGGAGCGUAGGGGUGGCGAGCGAUGGCACGGAGUGGGUAGACGCGGCGGCGGAGACUGCGCGGCGGCGGUCUACGGCUAUGUCUGCUUCCUCUCCGGGGUGCUCCGCCGGCCUUCCUGGCCGCGGCGCACCACGCCUAGCGCACCCUCUUCGAGCAGGCCACCAGAGCGAGGACCGCGUCGGCGUUGGCGUCGCUGCAGGAGCUCUGGUGCGCGUUCCACCACCAGGAGCCGCCCCCGAGCAAGCCUUGCCGCUACCGCCGCGUCCACCGUCGGUUCUUCGGGCUGGAACUCCACCGGUACGACGAGGCCCUACUGGAGCAGACGGCGAGGUAGUUGCUGGCGGUACAGUUGAGGUUUAUGAACAGUCUUAUGUCGAACGGUCUUUUAUAACAACGUUGUUGAUCACGAUCACUUCGAAAUCGUCCUCGACUAAAGACGAAGGUGCGACAGGGACAAGUCAAGUAGGAAAGAACCCUCAUAAAGUAGUAUACAACUAGGUUUCAACGGUAAGUAUAGUGAAUCGUUUCCCGACCUUGAAUUGUGGGAAGCCUGUUACAGAGUUUAGUAAGGAGAACGUAACCCUUUGGGAGCGGUCGGUAAAUAACAAGACAGUCCUGGAAGAAAACGACACCUUGACUACCUCUUUGAUGGUUGUCGAUACCACCACCGUAGGUUUCUGUUUUUCGACCGUUCACGACAAGUCGUCGAGAAUCGUAGAAGUUUAAACUCCUAUUCGUGUAGUUCCAUUAAUAUGGAUUAUGAAGUGGAAAUCUGCGAUACUGUUAGAAGUCGGUGUUUUUCACAUGCUUUCGUACGUACAGUAUCGGUCCUAAUAACAAACAAACCAACGUGUUCAUAACAGAAGUCGGUGUUUUGAUCAACGAUAAUGUAUUAAUUUAUUAUCCUAUGGUGAAUGAUACUUGUUAAACUCUAAAGAAAACGUAUUCUCCUAUAUAUAACGGGUGUACACCUGUUAACUAAAUCAAUAAGUACAUCCUUUCACAACACCUGAUGGUCCUCCCUCAGGUUUGUGUCUCUUCCUAAGACGAUCGUCUAAAGCAUCGAUCCACAAUUCUACUCUCAAGUAUAAUCGUAUCCAGAUUCCUCAGGUUAAUUAAUCCUUCCGGAUUCGUAGAUAAUGGAGGCAGGGUUUAAUCAACAAAAUCUAAAAAGAUUUAUGCCUACAUGGAUUCAUUUUGCACAGAUUCUGUUAAUUAAGUCCUACCUCCCUCAUCAUAUAUUCGUAUGGUACAUAGAUCCCAACACAACCGCUUAUUAUCAGACAACUAGAACGCUAGACUUCCAACAGUACUUUGUUUACAUUUCUCCCCACCACGGGUUUCCCAAGAGCAGCCGCUACUACGACUGUGUCACCAAAUGGGUCCAAGUCGGGGGAUCUACUCAUUAUCGAGAUACAGGACAGAUCUGGACCCGUACCUGUCGGACCGGGUUGCUGGGCCGGGCUUUUUCGGUCCGGUCCGGCCCAGUCCGAACCGUAAGUCCGGCUCGAACCCGAAGUAAUAGAUCGGGCUUUCCGUCAAACCCGACCCGAGCCCGAAAACAAAAAGUACUAAAGCCCGCCCCGAAAGUUCGAAGUUCGGCCCGAAUGUGCACCUCCACUGCUCUUCACAGCAAACCCGACCCGAACCCGAACGUCAAACUUCCAACCCGAAAACGUUCGGGCCGGGGACCGAGCCGGCCUGAUUACUAGUCUAAAUCAGGACUGAUGGAUAGAAAUAACUACUUGUGUUGACUAAUAUUACCUCUAAAGGAUAGAUGACCCGAUCCAAUUCCCAUACACGACGGCACAUAGAGGGAGGGGAACCGUCCCCCAUCAUGAAGGGAAUAUAUCCGUGAGGAGUAGGCGAAUCAAAUCAUGGAUAGAAAUUCCCUAUGUUAUGCUCAUAUGCUGGUACACUAGGGCGUCAAUCCCGGAUCUCUCGUGUCUAGAGGGCGUUGGCGUCUAACAACUUCACCGUGAGAACUAGGAACAGGGAAUACGCGCAUAGCCGGACGGAGGGAAGUUGCGGUUCUGCCUGGGGUUUUUCGGGUUCUGUGGGGUUCCUGUGGUCUUCUAAGUAAUGGUGGAGUUCUCUUUCCAAUGGCGAUAUGCUGUAUAGUCCUCUUCCUUCCUGAUAUGUUUAUUCCUUCUUUUCCGGGAUAUGCACAGUACUUGGCGGGCGUUUCCAGACAAAGCCACUAGGCGCACCCUCAACGGGAUUCCUCAAGUAUAAUCGUAUCCAGAUUCCUCAGGUUAACACAAUCACUCCGGAUUCGAGAUGGCAUAUUUGUAUGAUACAUAGACCCCAACUCCUUUCGUUCUUGCUAGUUAGAUAAAGGGGUUCAAUAAGAGAGGAGAUUUGGAUACAGAUGGGUUAGCGAGCGUCGGUACGGUAGACCGAUAGAAGUCGUGGCAUCAAUAGGGCAACACUUAGUUCCAAGUGUUAUCUGUGGGUGUAAUCGUUUCGGUCAUCGAUAUCUAUCUGGUCUCCAUAUAAGCUAAUUGGACACAGACAGGUCGGAUCUCGUUGAGGAGAGACUCACACCAAGCAGUCUACAUAUGAACGAAACGAAGUACAUCAAUCUAUUAUCCGAAAACAUAAAAAGAUCUCGUCAAAGAGCACAAAGGAACGUUUGCACAAGUUCUUAGACGAUACAAACAUCUCGGUAUCCUGCCGUCACAUUUGAAAAGGAAGAACCUUACCUUACUAUACUUCUAGAGAAGGCAUAAGCGCUUUUCUUUUACUUCGACGACACACAACCUCACGGUACAUCGGAGUGAAACCUAAAGACCUGGGGGUAGCUAACCGAUGAUACGUAGCAUCACCACCUAAAACUCGUCAUCGAACUCGACUAUAUCGUGUGACCCAAAAUUCAUCAUCGAAGUCUACCACACCGUGUGUGACUUUUAGAGAAGAGGUCUAUUUCGAUAGAAUAGAUUAAAAUGAUACGAAAUAAAAUUCUAAAGUCUGGCCGUUCUACUUAAUAUUCUAUAUGACAAUCCCAACACGUAACGAAAUAUCGGUACGUAAGUUUAUAAUGUUUUUUAUAAAUUUACACUUGACACUACGAAGUCACUGCAAUGUCCCCAUCUUUAACGUCCCCGUGAAUUCUUACAAGAACGCUAUCGUCGUCCAUAUCAUCUUCCAUACGUAGAACCUUUAUUAACAUACCGACGGGAACAACGAGUUCCGACAAGACUUUAAGCCACCAACCGCUGUUUCUACCCUCGUUUCGGUUGUUGGGAAAGACCAAAUAGACCGAGCCCACUAUAGUACGAAUGUACAAAACAGUUAGAAAGUGCCUUGUCUUUGCACCCUAACGCAGAACCAAGUCCGCUCUUUGAACCACUCUAGAACCUAAGUUACUUAGUCCAACGACUUCCACACAGUUGACGACCACGACAGUAGCGUAAUCGAGUCUUCAUGUUGCAGUUUGACGGUCAGAACUGUCGUCAUCGUGCCUAUUAACUAUUACUUGAUUGAGGCUUCUCCCGACAAUACCUCAAUUACUUAGAAGGUGUCCACCUCCUUCAGAUUGUCCUUGGUUAGGUUUUCUUACCUCGGUGGCUUGGACAAGACGGUAUGAAUUUUAUCGACAUACGAGGUAUACAAACAGAGGGUAGAGACUAGUUGAUAUAAAAGAGAACAGUUAGGCAGCUUAGUACUACUAACGAAACUCUCUAUAGUGGUUGAAACGUGAGGAUACUUCUCAAAUACGAAAGUACGUGUAAGGACACGCGUUUACGUCGUCCUAUAUGUAAUAUCCCUGGGCCUUAACUUACCCUUGUUACGAGGUACAAACCAAUAGGUUUUGUUCUAGUACCAACAUCCAAAGUAGUGAAAAUCUUACUCAAGGAUAAAAAGAAGACAUACUUUACUGGACCAAGUAUAAGUACUGUUCUGAACUCAAAUAAAAAGACUACUUUUUAAAGGAGUAAAAACAUCUUCUUUAAAGGAGCAACAAUAUUCUUUUAUCUCACAUAUAUGAUGGAUUUUUCUACUUUUACAAAGUAGGACACAGUUAAAAGAAGGCGGACAGAGGUAAAAAUAAGGCCGAAAGAAGCAGACAGGAGGGUCGCAUGCACGAGGGGAGAGGGAAAAAAACCAAAUAAUACUGGCUAAAAAGAGUCAAAUGGGACGCGACUGUACCGGGUUGUAUAUUUCGUUCUUUGCACGAGAGGAGGGUUACUUGGGAUCGGCGGAAUGGGAAGGAGUCACGCAGGGCUACGUGCAGGUGGGGUAGAGGGUAGGAGGUUGAAUAACAAUAAUCAUGUAAAACUAUGUUGACUGUAUCAAGGAAUACAUAUUCCUAA